rnacentral:rRNA from 1 species
CAGUCGCCGCGGGAAUACGUAGGGUGCAAGCGUUAAUCGGAAUUACUGGGCGUAAAGCGUGCGCAGGCGGUUAUAUAAGACAGAUGUGAAAUCCCCGGGCUCAACCUGGGAACUGCAUUUGUGACUGUAUAGCUAGAGUACGGCAGAGGGGGAUGGAAUUCCGCGUGUAGCAGUGAAAUGCGUAGAUAUGCGGAGGAACACCGAUGGCGAAGGCAAUCCCCUGGGCCUGUACUGACGCUUAUGCACGAAAGCGUGGGGAGCAAACAGGAUUAGAUACCCGCGUAGUCCCUGUCUCUUAUAC